rnacentral:lncRNA from 1 species
GUGAACGAAAUGACUCCUGUGGUCCAUCCUAGAUUUGUUUUAUUAUAGCUGAAAAAAUCUGCAUAUGUCUGUGUCUGAGAAUCACUGGAUUUGAUUCUCCACUUCCUACUUUAACUUUUUAAAUUCCUUCUACUGAAUUAUCCAUAGAUAGUGAAUAAAGUUUACCUUUCGAAGAAUGUACCAGUGGUCAAUUGCUACGGAGAACAAAGGAGUGGUUUUGAAAUUUCUGAGAUUCAUAGGUGGAAGUUACCUAAUGAAAAGAUUUAAUCACUAAUCAGGAAAGUCUUGCUGAUCUACUUAAACUAAUGAGGGAGUACAAAAUAAAGCAAGAAUCUUUAUUAAUCCUAUUAUCAUGUAAUAUAAUAAAGUUCUCUCCCCUAGUCCUGAUUGGCUAAUGUGCUAAGGAAAAAAAAAAAAAAAAAAAAAAAAAAAAAAAAAGGAAGCUCUACUAAGACAUUUAUCCAGAUAAACAUUAAAAUAACCUACCAAUUGAGAAAAAAUAUAAAAAAAUAUAUUUACAAAAAAGUAUUUAAAAGAACAAGGAUGUAUAUAAGGGAUUUGAGCAAAAGCCACAUUGUUAUGAAACAAAGCUGUUCUCAGCUGCCUGGAUUUAGAAGUUAAAUUAAAUAUGUGUAGGCUAGCAUACUAUUCUCUAUACUAUACAUUUUAUUUUAGCACUAUUCUGUUCCUUGUUAUAAUGAUAUGUAUAGUAAUUUUCUUGUUGAUUUUUUUUUCUUUUUCAUGCUUCACACCAAACUGCUCAGGGCUAAGUACAGAAAAUUAGAUUUUUCUUUCUAAUCUCAAAAUAUGAUUGAAGAAAUAUGUCACCUUCCUUCUUAUAAAAAGCAUAUUUUCAUAUAAGUAAGCUUCCCCUAAUGUUGAAAACAGCAUUGGAUUUUACUGUUUAAUUAAUUUAUUUAUUUAUGUUUGCAGCAAAAUUCAUUCAUCAUUAAUAUUAACUUUUUCAUUGAUCUUUAAUAAAAUUCUUCAUGGAUUGAUACUGCAGCCCACACAAUGUUUAUCUUAUAAGGAUUUUAGAAUCACCAAUUGUACUGGACUUUUUAAACACCAGCACAACUAGUCAGCUCCAUAUGCAAUUCAUUAAUUGUGGUAACCUCUUGGUCCAGACAUCACACAAACACAAAAAUAAAAGGAGCCUAUAAAUGUAUACUUUUUUUUGAUGUCACCUUAAACUUUUACUUUUUUAGAUAUGUGAACUUAGUAGAUAAGGAGUCUGAAAUGGUGUUCAAGAGAACUGUUUACAACUCCGCUUCAUUUCAUUGAUACAUUUUUAAAUGUCAAAUGCAUAUCAUCUCUGUGGUUUUCAAAAACCAUUCAGGUACAAUUUUCAAGCUGAGUAUGCUGAAACUCCAGUUUAGUAGCUGAGAGCUACGAGGAGUAAUUAUGAAUCAUCAUGUGAUAGACUGGCGCUCGCUUUGGUUUACGCCCUUGUAUUCUAAUUGGAAGAGACUUGGAAAUAAUAUAAGAAAUAUGUACUAUGAGUGCAACCCUUUCCUUUCAAGGACACAGACUCAUUUCUGUAUUUCAAACAAGUUUUAUCAAUUUAUUCACCCUUGUGCUUAUUGAAUUAUGACAGGUUGUUGUGAGAUUAUUUGAAUAGUGUGUUUUUUCUCCUUCUGCAUUGCCUAAUAAUUAAAAGCAUAGGCACAUAGACCAAACUAUAACAUAUAAUAUCUCCAGUAGAAAUUAUACUAUAUGCUAACAUAUUACAGAUAUAUAAGUGAUUAAUAACUUCGCUUUGUUAUUUGGAAAAAUAUAAAGUACGCUGACAUUUAUAAAAACAAUGUUCUGUUGGCUGGAGAAAUUUACUAAAAUUGUAAACU